rnacentral:lncRNA from 10 species
CACAGAUCCAAACCAUUUUAGAGGAGUUGGUGUCCUCCUUCCUGGAUGGCAAAAGGAGAGUAAUAUGAGCAGGCUCAGGCAGAACAAGGAAGAAUCCAGUUCUCCUUAACAGGAAUAACAAGGUCUAUUGUUCCCAAACAGGCAGAGCCAAAGCAUGCUAAGUGAGAAAUAGUCCUCCCACCAUGUGAGAGUACGCUGGGCUGCCUUUCCAUUUUAAAGAAUUGCCUUGGUGAGAUGUCUUCAGUUCUUCUGCUCAGAGCUGGACCAAAGCAGCUGUCGAUCCUUUGCCUCUUUGCACUUUGGAGCCCAGUCCUGAUGGGACCAGGUGUCAGAGCCCUGCCAAAUCUGUGAGAAGGGUGGAAGCAAGUUUCCCUGAGGGAAAAAAAAACAACAAAAAAAAACCUUCUGGAAUUGGGAAAAAUUUAGGUCAACAUCAUUUGAACCUUGACCUCUUGCUCUUUUGUCCCCGGGUGGACAUUUCCUUGACCUCCAGAAAUUCCUCCACCUCAAGGGAAGACUUCUUGCCCCCCUCACUUCCAGAGGCCUCCAAAGUGGGCUGGGAAGAGAUUUAAAGCAGGACCCUGGGAAGCAUGAUGAGACUCUGGAGUGUAGAGAGGCUUCCCUGCAAUGCAAAGAUCUUCAAAGGCCAAGCCCAAGGCACUGCAACCCCCAGGAGGGCCCACUCCAAAGCAGAACAGUGGAGGGAGAGCCUGCGUGUCAAGAAGCCUGGACAGCAAGACCCCCUACUGUGGCAGCCAGCCUGCUUGUAGGAGUCCUGAGAAGCCUAAUUCAAUUACCCUUAUCAGAAUGUCUCUGAACUUAACAAAGCAGAUAAUGAGUUCCAGAGACAGAUACUGCUUGGGGGGCCAAAAUUAUUUUGCUUCCCCAAAUUGGAGGCUGAAAUUGGAGAUGUUUGAAUAAUGGAAAACAUAAUCCUUCCCUAGGCCCAACCCCCUCCCAGUACCCACACCUGAGACACCCUUUCAACCAAGGAGCCUGGAUUCAACAUCCAUGCCGUCUCUCCUCCUGAAGACACCUGGUCAUGAACUCGACCUCUUUCCCCCACCAUCUUUGUGCCAUCGAUGGAAGGAAGCUGCGUACAGGAUGGAAGUGGGAGGGGAAAGGGAUUAACAUUUAUGGAGCCCUCCCCUCUAUGUGUCAGCUACAUAACACAUAGCAUUCAUUUCAACCACAGAACAUAUGUCUUUACAUUACAGAAGGCAACGGAGAACUGGAAAAGUUAACUUACUGCCUGAGGACCCAUCCCCAUCUCACCAGCAGCACAGUCAGAUUCAGACACAGGUAUUCAACUUUGCAACACACUGUGCCUCACGGCCUGUGUGCUCAACAUCAGAAAUCAAAUAGAAACUCCCUCAUUCUAAGAUUCAUAGCCAUCCUCCGAGAUAUGACAUAGCGACCUCUCCUCCGUGAACAGGGAAACAGACUGAGAGGAUAACCUAACUCUCCCAAGGCCAGAGUAUCCACUGGGAUAUGCAGCCAAGUCAGCCAGCAGUUGAAACAAGGGCUCUCUGUGCUAUCUCACAUCUGAAUUGAAUUGUUUCCUACAGACUUCUCAUAGCUCUCUAGGCAAGGAAUACAUCUUCUCACCUUCCCACACUAAGAAAGGCCUCUGUCUGAGCCUGGGUGCCGGGUGGCCAGGAUUCCUGCUGAACGUUCAGGAGCUUUCCAUCUCCAGAGGUGAGCUCCUAGUUCCUGCUUACCUUAGAACUGUAGAACAUAUAAUGUUACCACUGAAAAGAACCUCUCGUAUAGUUGGAUCACACCCUUUACCUAUUUAUUUAAAUGUACUGUUUUAAUUAUGUAACAUUUGAUAUGUGCAGGAUAAUAUGUAUGCAAAUUAUAAAGCAUAAUAAUAAAACCUGUGAACCCACCACUCAACCUUAGAACCAGACCAUUACAAUUGAUGUCCCUCCUACUUCCCCAACAGAAAUAACCACUGUCCGGGACUUUAUGUUUAUAGCCCCACCCCCCACAAUGAUUUUUAUAGUUUUGCCAAAUAUGUUAGCAUGGUAGAUUGCAUUAUUGCUCUGAGUUAAAUAUCCUUCCUUUGACAUAUAAUUUGGCAGUUCCUUCCAUUGGAAGUGAAAUACAUUUCUCUGCCCAAGAUGUUAGAUUUGCUUUGGUCAGUAGAAUGUUGCAGGCUGUGACGGUGAAAAUUCUGAGCCCAGGCCUUAAGAGGAAUCACCUGUUUCCACAUUCCCCACUUGUAUUUCUGCCUCUGCCAUGAGAAAAACAUGCUUCAGGUCACCUGCUGCUCCAAGGAGGAUGAGAGACCUAUGGGGAAGACCUGGACCCAAUCUGAAGUUAGAACUAAGUGCAACUGAGCCCAGCCUGGAUUAACCAACUCCCAGCCAAUCCACAGACACCUGGGUAAGAAUACAUGAAUGUUGUCAGCCACUGAGUUUUGGAGUCAUUUGUUAGGCAGCAUUAUUGUGGCAAUAGCUGACUGAUAUACUAUGUAUCCCUGAACAGCAUAUUGUUUACUUUUGCUUUUUUUUUUAGCUUUGAAAGAUGGUAAUUAAUAUUGCAUGUCAUUAUCUAAUAUUUACUUUUCUUUCCCACUCAACAUGAUAUGUCUGAGAUCUAUGCAGUAGAAUAUAAUACAGCAGUAUAAAUGAACUACAGCAGCAGCCCUCUCAGUUUAGAGAUGAGGAAAAGCAAAAGACCCGGAGAGUUCAUGAAGGGCUGAACUGGCUUGGAAGCCCAAGUGUCAUUCCUUCAGCAGAUAUUUAUUGAACAUAAACUGAGCACUCACCUCAGUGCUAAGAAUAUAAAGGGGAACUGGACACAUAAGGUUCUUGUCCUCUUGAGUUACAGAGGUCAUUUCAUAGAAAGAAUGCAAGGCCACAUCUGUGCCCCCUAUCAUAUCAUUGCCAAGGUUUCCUUAUUGCCUCUGCCCUGCCUGCUGUUUCCCCCAUUCAGUUCACCACCUCCUGUCCCUGGAGGCAAUAAUGUAAUUAAGGCAGUAUGUGAAGACAGCACGCAGAAACUGUGAUGUGGAUAGCUCUCCUUGGAGAUCUGCUGGCAGACUGACUUCCAGGAAAAAGAGCCAAAGUACUUGGGAAAUGCAGACCCAAGGACUGAUCACUUUUGGGAGGUCAAGACAAGAAACCCUACAUAUAUGAUAAAGAGAUCUUACUCAGCAAAACACAGUUACUGAAGAGGGAUGGAGGAAUACCCUUAUGAAAAAAUGGACAGAACAUGCACGAAGAAAACUGCAAAACUUCAUUGAGAGACAUUCUUGCCUUGAAUAAAUGAAAAAGCAUGUCAUGUUUCUGGGUGGGAAAAUCUAAGACCACUUAGAUACCAAUUCUUCGCCCAAGUAAUACUACAUCUUUAACAUUAUCCCAAAUAAAAUCCAAACAAAAAAUGUUUUAACUUGAC